rnacentral:rRNA from 1 species
AUUGAACGCUGGCGGCAUGCCUAACACAUGCAAGUCGAACGAGUGGCGGACGGGUGAGUAAUGUAUGGGAAACUGCCCGAUGGCGGGGGAUAACUACUGGAAACGGUAGCUAAUACCGCAUACCAUCAGAGUGGCCCAGAUGGGAUUAGCUUGUUGGUGGGGGAAAGGCUCACCAAGGCGACGACCCCUAGCUGGUCUGAGAGGAGGACCAGCAACACGGGAACGGAGACACGGUCCAGACUCCUACGGGAGGCAGCAGGGGGGAAUUUUGCACAAUGGGCGAAAGCCUGAUGCAGCCAUGCCGCGUGUAUGAAGAAGGCCUUCGGGUUGUAAAGUACUUUCAGCGGGGAGGCGUUACCCGCAGAAGAAGCACCGGCUAACUCCGUGCCAGCAGCCGCGGUAAUAC